rnacentral:rRNA from 1 species
CCUACGGGGGGCUGCAGUGGGGAAUAUUGGACAAUGGGGGGAACCCUGAUCCAGCCAUGCCGCGUGUGUGAAGAAGGCCCUCGGGGUGUAAAGCACUUUCAGUGAGGAAGAACGCCUGGUGGUUAAUACCCAUCAGGAAAGACAUCACUCACAGAAGAAGCACCGGCUAACUCCGUGCCAGCAGCCGCGGUAAUACGGAGGGUGCGAGCGUUAAUCGGAAUUACUGGGCGUAAAGCGCGCGUAGGUGGCUUGAUAAGCCGGUUGUGAAAGCCCCGGGCUCAACCUGGGAACGGCAUCCGGAACUGUCAAGCUAGAGUGCAGGAGAGGAAGGUAGAAUUCCCGGUGUAGCGGUGAAAUGCGUAGAGAUCGGGAGGAAUACCAGUGGCGAAGGCGGCCUUCUGGACUGACACUGACACUGAGGUGCGAAAGCGUGGGUAGCAAACAGGAUUAGAUACCCUGGUAGUC